CUCUGGACGCCAUAUUUGUUAGAGCGUGUACGAGAUCCCUACGAGGUGGAUCGAGAUGGCGAAGUCCAAGAACCACACCAACCAUAACCAGAACAAGAAGGCCCACAGAAAUGGUAUCAAGAAACCACGCCGCAACCGCUACGAGUCUCUGAAGGGGGUUGAACCUAAG